CCUCAGCCUUCUGAGUAGCUGGGAUUACAGCAGAUUACUGAUGAAAUCCUUGGCAUCGUCGGAGAUCUCAUCAAAUGCCUCGUCGUCGAAGUCCCAGGUGGCAGAGGUAACAUUGGCCAAGGUUUCGUUAUCGUUGUCUCCCAUGAAGGGGGAAAGGCCACUGACUCUGGAGAGACAAGAGCAGGAGAGCAGGUGUGGCUAGGAGAGGGCGCGACGACCAGAUGAGGGAAUUGAGGCACAGCCCAGGCUCGAGUAACCUGCCCAAAGAUUCGCAGCCAGUGAGAUUGGAACCCAGGUAUCUGCCUCUAGAGCCUGUCCUCUUAAAUGCUAUACUAUCCUAACAUUUCUAUGAAGAUGAAGUAAAUUGCAGUGUUCAGCACUGGCAUCAGGCCUGGUCCACAAUAAGGAAGCAGUCCAUGCCCGGAGAUCUCAUGCAGUUCUGCUGGGUUCCCUCCACUGCCUCACCAAGCUGUGAGUGCAGGAAUGACUUUAUGACCAGCAGCUUAAGCCAAAUAAACUUUAUAAGGUAAAGAAUUUCAAAACAAAA